AGUCGGAGGCAGUUGGUCAGCCAAGGGGUGAGUCUGUCAGUCUCGGCGAGUCUAAUCAGUUGGUCAGCCGGCUCAGUGUGGGGCAGUCAGUGUCUGUUUGUCGUCUGGAGUGCUGGUAUGUGUUAGGCCGUCAGUCUGCGCGAGCUUGUUUAGGCAGUGGUCAUUGGCGGUUGGAUCGAUCGAUUCAUCGGUCGCGCACUGAGACACAUGAUGACUUGUCCGCCUUGAGCGUCGGCGCAUGUGAGGUCGCCACGUGAGUCCAGUGAGCCGCGGCGUAUAGCGAGGGGUAGUGGCUUCGCGGUCGACACGAGAGCAACAGGAGUCAACCCACGACAUCGGUCUGGCCGGGGCGAGCUGCGACGUCGUGAGACGGGAGAUCGGCGCGCCUUCCUGCGUCCGAUGAAGAGGCUGCCAGCGGACGGUUCGGGAGAGCGUUUUGGAGGGUGCUGCGCCAGGUCUUCGCCAGGCAUCGCAGUUUAUUAAAGACAAUACUUGGUUGUAACAGCCAAGUAACUACCUACAGUGUGAAUGAUGGAUUUAAUGAAAGCAGAUUUGGUUUGAAGAACUUGCUGGACAAUUCGGGCGUAUGAUUCAGCCAUCCAGAUCGCCCUACAUGAAUCCUAUUGAACAUUAUCGGGACAAAUUGAGAGAGGUCGCCGCGACAUAUCCGGCCACGGAUUGCUACGCCGGGUUUCUAUUGGCUCCCGCUCACUAUAUAGGCCCGGCCUGUCAAGGGCAGACCAGUCUUCGUCCCCUGCUAAUGGCAACCGCUAUAGCAGAGUCUCUGAGAAGAUAUCACCGAAGCCGCUGUACUGCACCAGCCGACCGAGGGGAACCACAUCUCCGGUUGGAUCGACGGACGUCUACACUCAUUGUACAACCAGCUAUUGUACUGUAGAAGAAGUUACGUUC